CAGCGCCACGAGUGGUAACCGCGAUUAUUGGGCCUAAAGCGUCCGUAGCAGGUUUAGCAAAUCUUUUGUGAAAUUGUGCGGCUUAACCGUACAACGUGCAAGAGACACUACUAAACUCGAGACCGGGAGGAGUCAGAAGUAUUCCAGGGGGAGCGGUAAAAUGUUAUAAUCCCUGGAGGACUACCUAUGGCGAAGGCAUCUGACUAGAACGGAUCUGACUGUGAGGGACGAAAGCCAGGGGAGCGAACCGGAUUAGAUACCCGAGUAGUCC
rnacentral:rRNA from 1 species